rnacentral:lncRNA from 1 species
AUUAAGAGUAGAAAUACUCCUAUUUUCAGUCCGCGGGUACAGUCCUUUACCGGUAUCCAAUGGCUCACCACCUAGCCAUAAUCCAUGACACAUAUUCCAAUUAAAUUGUGUCUAACAGUCAUAAGCUAUUUCAGGCUCGAUAUAUAUGCAUGAUAUGAAAUGAAAAAUGCACGGGUAGCCAUCUAGACUCGGUAUUGGCUUAAGUCGAUUUUUCAUCCGAUAAAUUGGCCAAUGCGUCCAAUUUCACUCCAACUUGCUCCAUUUCUUUUCCAAUCCCUCAAUUCACCAAGCACAACUAAUUAACACACAAUUAGGCAAAAUUUAUCUUCACUUUUCUUCUUGGAACUUUCGGCCAACAAUGGUACACUAACUCCGUGAUUUUUCCUACUUAAUUUUCUCUCCAUAAUUCAUUAAUUCCUACACCAAAAACUAUUAUUUCUUAAUCAAAUCACCUAGAAUAACAUCCCAUUCUUCCUCAUUAUUCACUUAGAGAAUUCGGCUAUUGAUGGGCACCAAACCUUUGGUGGUUUUCUUCACUUGUUUUCAUGCUACACAUCAUUAAUCACCUAAAAACACUAACAUACCUAAAAAUCAAACCAAUCCAAGAUCAUUCUCUCUCCAUACCCAUUUUGACCAGCCAUGAAUUCAUCAUGAAAACAUGUAAUUUAACCAUGGAAAUUAAGGGAAAAUGCAUGGGUAAGGUAAAUCACUAGCAAAAUCAAAGAAAUUUUACCUUUGCUUGAUCAAAUCCUUGAAUUCCAACACUUUCUCUUUGAUUUUUCCCACCUAGGGUUUGUUCUUCCUUGGUUUCUCUUCUCUUCUGGUUUGGCUGAUCAGUAUGGGAGAAAUGGGCUGAUUUUUUGCCUUUUUAUAAAGAAAUAAUAAAAUAAUAAAAACAUGACACAUGGCAUUUCCUUAUUGGUUCAAAUUUUAAAUAUUUGGCUUUUAAUUCUUUAAUUCUCCACCACACAUUUCUCAUGUUUAUCCAUUUCCAUGAUGAAUAAAAUCUCUUGGUCUUGACAAGUGUUGGGGGUGAAAAUUUUCCGAUUUGUUCUCGGGGUGGCAAAAUUACCAUUUCGCCCCUAUACUCCAAAUUAUACCGGAAUUAAAAUUUUUCACUUCUAAACUUCAAAUCAUACUCCAAUAAGUCAAAUGGGGCCAAAAAAAAUCUUUUCUAAAAAUUCCCAUUUUGUCCCUAAGUGGCAAAUGACCAUUUUGCCCCUAGAUAGUGAAAAUUCCUGUUUGACUCCAAAUUGAUCCUCGAACUCCGAAUUACCAUUUUGAGUCAUCCUUAAAUUGUGAGACUCUUAAUUUCACCUUAAAAUUCCUAUUUGAACUAGUUCGAGGCUUAAUCAACUUAAUGGUACCAUUAGGGGCAAUAUUGUCUUUUAACGAUUUUUCGAACUUCCUAAAUAUGCAAACAUUCUAUUGAGCAUGUAAAUGACGUCGUAAUUAUUUAAUAGAACAGGGUUUGACAUUCUUACUCAAAUCCAAACACUCUAUGUCACAAAACACCUCAUAUUAUUUUUAACUCAACCACAAUUCAAGAUGGAAUCAUUUCAUCCAAAGCAUCUCUUCACUUGCUUUAAUCACUGCAAUACAUUAAGCCUUUACGGUCAACAAUGCAAAACCCUUCUACAGUUUAGAUUGGGAAGAUCUAGCUCCCCUUGCAAAAGUGAACACAUACCUUGUAGUAAUUUUCUACUAUCAAGAUCACCUACCAUGUCUACAUUAGUGAACCCUUUAAGAACUGACACUAUAGUCCCAAAACUAAAGCAGAUCUUUGAAGUACCUUUUAAGUAUUUGAAUAUCCACUUAAUAGCAUCCUAAUGAAUCUUUCUUGGAUUAGAAAGAAAUUUGCUCACUACACCAACUGCAUGAGCAAUAUCAAAUUGUAUAAAAACCAAAAGAAACAUCAAUGAACUUACUGUAAAAGAGUAAGGAAUAGUUAACAUAUCAAGCUUCUCUUCCUUAGUUACUAGAUAAGAACUUUUACUAAGUUUAAAAUAAUUAGCAAGAGGUGUGCUAAUUGACUUGGCAUGCUACAUAUUCAAUCUCUUAAACAUUCAUUCAACACAUUUUUCUUGUGAUAAUUAUAGCUUUCCUAUCACAUAUAAUUCUCAUAGCCAAAAUUUGUUUAGCUAGACCUAAAUCCUUCAUGUCAAAAGGACAAGUCAUUUUUUAACCUAGAAAUCAUAUCAGCAUCUUGCCCCACAAUCAAUAGCCAAAAUUUGUUUUGCUAGACCUAAAUCCUUCAUGUUAGAAAGACAAGUCAUCUUUUAACUACAAUCAUAUCAACAACUAGCCCCAUAAUCAACAUAUCAUUAACAUAUAAUAAAAGAAUAAUGAAGUUACAUCAUAUAAUUUUCUAACAUACACAUAAGGAUCAAUAGUUGUUCUUUUAUAGAAAUGUCUCACCACAAAAGUAUCAAACUUCUUAUACCACUAUCUUGGAGCUUGUUUCAAGCCAUACAAGCUCUUCUUCAACUCACAAAUUAUAUGCUCUUUAGUCAAAGGAAUAAGGACCAUUUCACCAAAAAUUACAACGUUUUCUCACUCAUCUGUGUGAUACUACUUUGGCACAAGUUUGGUGAAGCAUUGUCUUUAUUGCAAUUAUCAAACCACUGUAUAAUUUCGACCAAGUCUUGUACAUGGUACAACAUAGUUUUCCCUUUAUAACUAGCAUAGACUUCUUAAAAAGCUUCCAUUACUCAUUUUUUUCCUUACUCUCAUAUCUUUCCUUGUUAAGGACAUUCACCACAAGUAAGUUCAUCCUCAAAUUUGGAAUAUGCCUCACAUCUUUCAAAGUCAAUGUGUAGCUAAUACUUGUUUCCACAACAAUAUCACCAAUUCCUACAAUUUGAAAAAUCUUAUUUCCCAUCAUAAUAUGCCCAAAGUCUCUAGCUUUAUAGGUUGUGAACAAUUCUUUCUUAGGAACACAAUGAUAUGUUGUGCCAGUAUCAAAUAUCUAUUCAAUGCCUUGAUCAUUAACAUGGUUGCAAUCACCAUGUGUAUAGAUCAAAGUUGUUAUAUCAUCAUCAAAAUUUACUACUACUACAUUACUAUCAAUCUAAACUCUCCUUACCUUUUCCAUUAUUUGUCUCUUACUUUAAGAUCCUACAUAUUCACUUGAUGUGAUGAACUUCGCCAUGAUUGCAGCACUUUACUAAGUCCUUUGACUUAGUAUGGCCUUUAAAGUCUUUGUCAUCGUUCUUAGUUUUUCCCUUGCUCUUUAUGACAAGAGCUUGGGUAAUCCUAGAUUUCAUAUCCUUUCGCCUUACCUCUUCAUUAACCAUAUGGUUUUUGACCAUCCCCAAGGUCAACUCGUCAUUCGGAGGUCAAAUUACUAACAAUCACAACCAAUGUUUCCCAAUUGUUUGGUAAAGAACUUAAAAAGGAAACAACAUUUAUAAUUCAUUAUCCAGGUCAAUUUCCAUAUCAAUAAGCUAAUUCAUCAAAUCUUGGAAGCCACUCAAGUACUCAACCACUGUUUUUCCUCCUUGUAUUUCAAAUUAACAAGCUUUUUAAUCACAAAAGCUUUAUUUUGGGUAGCCUUCCUCUCAUAUAGUGCAACUAACUUCACUUAAACACUAUAGGCAUCUAACUCUUUUGUUACCACUACCAAAUUUAAUGCUUUCACCGAAAAAAUUUUCCUUUGAUAAAGAGCAAAAUUAUAUCAGUAACACAAAAUAUUGAUAUAAUGCCGAAAAAAAUUUUGUUGGUAAACAAUUGAAAAUAUCGUAGUCGGUAAAGCUCAUUCCAUUGGUAAUUGGGUAUUUUGUUGGUAAAUGAUCAAUAGAAUAUUCCAUUAAAAACUUGGUUAGCAAAGUUUCCAAUCUAUCGGUAUCUUUCAUGGUUGGAAACGAUAGAUUUUGGUAGGCAAUUUCUAUCAAUAUUUUAAUUGUGGAAUUUACGACGGAGUUUCAUUAGCGUGUUCUAUCUGUACAACAAAAAUCUUUUUUAUUAAUUAUAAUAUUUAGGAUUUAAUAAUAUUUUUAUUAAAAACAAAAAAAGUAACAAAAAUACAACUAAAAAUUAAUUUUAAAUAUUGUAAAAAUAUGUAAAAAAUAUUUUUUAAUAACAAUAAGAAUACAAAUUGUAUUAUUUUUAUUAAAAUCAAUAAAAAAUACAAAUUAAGAAAACAUAUAAGAAUAAUUAAGAACACAAAUGGGAAAAAAAUAAAAAUAUAUCUACUAGUAUAUCAUCCCUUCACCAUGUAGCUUUGAUGAAGAUUUGACGUGGACUGUUGAUCGUAUCAUGCAAUUUUCCCUCCAUGGCUCAUAUGCCUCAUGAUUCUGUGGAGGAUAGGUGCCUAACCUAGUGAUUGGCACGAGCCUUCAACUUUUUUGCUCUAUGUUUAUUGUAUUAGUAUGUAAACCACCUUCUUAGUCGACUGAGAAUCCCUCCUAUCAAGGGAUCGAUCCCUGCAGCUAGUUUUUCAGGAAAAUAGUCUCAUUUUUAAAUAAUUUUGAAGGAUUUUGCUUAGUUGUUUUAAAGCAAACUUCUAAGGGGUUAUAAACUUGCUCAAAUCCAUCUAAUUAAGGUGUUAAACAUCUUUAUUACAAGAUUUAUAUAAAGAUAUUGAUGUUUCUUACAAAAUGCAUGUUUAAAUGAAAAGUAUUAUUUGAUUAAACAUUUGUGCGUUAGCUUAUCUCCCUUCCCUAUUUUUGCUCACUAAGUUUUAUACUCAUCUUUUUCAAGUUCGUCUUGUGUUUUCAGAUCAUUAGUGUGAUCGACUUUUCAUCCUUGGAGGACUCUCAAACUAUGGCUUGGUAGGUGUCUAUUAAAGGCAUUCGGUAGGCAUUUUUAACAAUCUUUGAAUUCGAUCCAUUGUCCAUGUUUGUUAUUACCUUGUUGUCACAACCCAAAUUCGAGGCCAUAACCGGUGCAAGAGUAUCAAUGGGAGUUACCCUUUUAACUCAUGCAAGCCUUAAAUAGACAACUUAACCAAAUACUUAAAAUUACUUCAUGCGACCUGUCACCAUGGAAACAUAUACAAAUAUGUAUAAAUGUAUUUAUUUCAAUUACUAGAAUAUAUUAGUUCGCAUGAUCUCGUGAAUAAAGUGCAAAAGUAGAACAUAUCAAAAUUUAAAAUAUUGGCCAUCUUGUGGCCAAUACCAGAAUGUAAGCCAACCCAUUGCAAAUAUCAAAAUAUAUCAUUUAUUACAAAGUGCAAACAUAGUCAUAAUCCAUGACAACCAAAACAUAAAAUACUAGAUCAUCAUAGCGGAGUACGACUUAAGCAAAAAGGUUGAUGCCUAUUGAAUGCAAUAUGAUCACUUACAAAACUGAUUGCAGAAGUAGCUCUUUCCAAGGGACAACAAGCCAAGCAAUCUACUGAUCUGAAACAACAAAUGCAUUUUACAUGUGUGAGUUAUAAAUAACUUCGUGAGUAGAUACAGGGAGGGGAAAGAAGCUAGAUCGAAGACUAUUUGUCAAAUAUACUUACAUAAUUAAUAUGAGUAUAGCAAUUUCAAUUAAAUUCAAAGUUCACCUUUCAACGAAUCAAAUAUUCUAAUAGAUUUCAAAAUUCGACAAGUAUUUCAAGAUUUUCCACAGUCUGUUUUUCCAAGUGUUUCAAAUAUCCAAGAAGACUCGAAGUACAUAUUCCAAAUGAUACAAGGUUGUUCUUAAAGAUAUUCAAGAAAAUAGUGAUUUGAAAAUUUAUUACAAGUUUUGAAAAGAUUUUAAAAGUGUAAAAUUCAAAGCAACAGAUUUGAGGGAAACGAGUGAUUAAAGUCAAUUUGGAAGUGUUUAAUAUAUAAAAACAAAGUAUUCAAAGGUUUGUUUAUAAAACCAAAUCAUUUGCAUUUUAGAAAAUCCUUUGAAAAAUACAGAAAAAUCCAAAACAAACCUAAACUAUCGAUACUUGCUCAGAAGUAUCGAUAGUUUUGCUUGAUCUAUUGAUAGAUGAGGCAUAUCUAUUACUAGUUCUUAAAUAAAAUGCAAUCAAAAGGGUUUUGGAAGAAAUCCAUCGAUUCUUCCUCAAAAGUAAUGAUAGUUUUGGUAUAGAAUCAAAAUUUUCUACCUUAAACUCACUACUAGGACCUUAAACAAGACUAAUAAACAUCCAUAAUCAACCAAUCAAGCUCAAACAUCAAAAUCUAACAAUUAUCCAAUCCAAACAUAUCAAGCUGCAUAUCCAAAUAUGUCAAAUACCAAAUCCAAAUAAAAAAAAAUCAUAUUCGAACAUUUCAAGUUAUCAAUUUAGAUAGAUAGCAGAGCGUUAACCAAAAGGACAAAUAAAACAAAAAGUGUCAUCACACUUAGAACAAUUCAUUGCUUGUAGUCAACAACCAUUCUUCAAAAUGGGGUAGAACUUCGUUAGCUACCAACACAAAACAAAUCCUUAUGCACAAUGGCUAAUGUCUAUUGUCACUAGCUAUAGGUCUUUAUCACACAAUAGCUCUGUUAAACAUUUUACAACCAGUCCAAUGUUUCAAAAUUCAUUACUAAACAAAAGGGGUGAAUCCAAUCACCAAUAUAUCAUAGGGGUUGAGUCGUAUCUAAAAUCGAGGUCAAUAAACCAAUUUUAAAAUCUCAUAGACAAAGUGACAUAUGUUAUGGUCUCAUAUAAGUAAAUAUAAUUGUUCAUAUCAACAUUUGAAUUCAUCAAUCAAACAUCCAUCAUAGACAAAUAUCAUGUUUGAGAUGACAAAUAUCAUGCUCAAAACUAAUACAUAGUAGGCAUAUUUACAUAGUAUAUUAUUUUUAUUAAAACAUAUUUGUAAACCAUUGUUCACAUCACAAACUCAUUGAAAUUCAUUUAUAUGCAAGGUUGUAGAAUAGGUAUGCUUAAUAAUAUUAAAAUAAUUAAAAACACCAUAUCUACCCAUCUCGAUGACACGUGCCUCUCCUCUAGCACCUUUCAUCGAACACUCGAUCUUCCGAAAAUUCAACUUCCUUCAAUAACACCUAACACAAGGUUUCCAUCACAAAUACUUGGUUCUCUAAUAAAAUCCUAGACUAAUAAUCAUCUAUCCUUUCAAAAAUAUUCUUUAGCAAAUCUUUCAACCAACAUCAGUAAUCUAACUCUAACUAAGAGAUUUAGACUACCACUAGCUAGAGUUAAGAGUAACUUUACCUUGGUGAGCUCAAGAGUUCCAAAACCAAAUCGGAUCCUAAGUUUUCAUGAACAAAAAAAUUUUUUUUAAAUCCAUAAAUUAAAAAACAAUCAAAACCAUAAGUCUGAAGGCUUUAAAUUAAAAAGCCUUACCUCUAAAAGUCUUUAAAAUCAAAAUCUAAGCUUGAAGAUGACUUUUAAAUGCUUGAAAUCCAUAGAGUUGAUAAGGAUGAGAGUUGAGGUAUAAAAAAGAAUAGGGUGGCCAGGUUUUUAAUGAAAAAGAAGUUCUUUGCCAAAUAAGGAAAAGUCUAAGGUUUUAGAGCUUUUAAAUAGGUGUGAAAAGCCCUAAAUAACCCCUUGUUUUUUCAAGUUUGUGCCUAAACUAUCAAUAGUUUUGGCUUGGGUUGCCAUCUAUUGAUAGUUGAUGAACAUCUAUCAAUAAAUGUUCGUCCUAGGUUUGAACUAUUGAUAGAUGAUGAACAUCUAUCGAUAGUUUUGGUCUAGAAAGCAAUUUUAAAGCUCAAAAUAAUCUUUUUUAUCCUCCAACAAACCAUAUUUUCAAAUGAACAUGUAUGGCUCUUUAUACAUGGAGUUUUUAGGUCAAAAUGGUCCAUAGUUCAAGUUUAAAAACAUCAAAUUAACAACUCACCAAGUUAAGUUACAAUUCUAAUUUAAAUUAAAAAGUGGGUUUCACAUUUGUUUUUUUCCAAAGGUGGCAUACAUUAUUACUUGGCCAUGAGUUGGCUAAUGAUAUUUGAACAUGUAAUAAAUUUGUAUAUUUUGUGGAUAUUGAAGCACACCUUGUGCAUUGAACAUCAUGUUGAGACAUGUACAUUCCUCAUAAGAUAUAUAAAUAUAUGUUUAUUUUGAUAUGAGUUCUCAUAUUAUUGUAGUAUGUUAAGUGUUUUUGUUUGUCUAUAUCUAAGGCUUAUUUAGGUCAAGUGGGCUCUGUCCCUUUGGUCCUUGCACUGGUCGUGGCUUGGGAUUAAACUAUGACAACAUAACACCAAAAUAGAUAUAUAAAAGACUAAAUACCUAAAUAAGUCCUUGAACUAUGUUGAAAAAAAUCAAUUAAGCCCUUAUCCUUUUAUAUGUUUAAUUAAACCCCUAAACUUUUAUUUUGGAUCAAAUAAGCUCUUUUCACUAACUGUUAAAUAACUUUCAUUAGUCAAUAAAAAAAUUGUCAAUUAAUACCAUGCAAUCUACCACGUGGCAUGUUGAUGUGUUAUUUUGAUGACAGCAUUGUCACUUGGUAGAAUGUGGCAUUAAAUGUUGCUGAAUAGGACUUGGCUUUUUUCUUUUUUGUCUAGCCACAUAUUUAACAUGAUUGGCUUAGAGAUUUAAAAGAAAAAUAAUUAAAAAAACAACCUAAUUGCUAAUCAAACUAGGUUCCUUCCCAAAUUAAUUUCGGGUUCAAAACAACUAAAUCAAACAAUUAAUUUAGUCUUUUUAAUGGAGGAGUAGCAUAUACUUUAUUAGGCUUAUUCUUCAAAAUCAUGAUUGACAUAUCUUGUGUGGUCCACACACUGAUUUCUCUUCAUUCUUGGAACCCAAUCAUCUAGAAGAUUUAGAUUUCAUUGCUUUAGAGGGAGAUAAGAGUUCAAAAAGUGAAGAUAAAAGGGGAUGUGAGCAACAAGAGCAGCCUUUGAGUCUAUUGAUUGUUGUGCAUCCUCUUUUUUUUUUUUUAAGUUCAAAUGGCUAAGUUUGGCACUAGUUAAAGUCACAUCUUUGCAAGAAACAAAGAAGAUAAAUUUUUUUCCCAAACUUCCAAAAAUUCAUGGGCAUAAUCAUAGGACGAUAUUACUCAUCACUAUUAACAAUUCAUCAAAUAUUUGCAGGAGGCCUACAUCUAUAGAUUUAAUUCAUCUUUUUAUUCUUAUUUCCACUGGCCUAAUUUUUGUUCUAAAGAUUUGUAGAAGGAUCGGAUCACUGUUAACAAUGUUUGAAAUCUCUAAGCCAAUUAUUUUAAGACAUGUAGUUGGAAAAGAAAAGCCGAAUCCUAUUACGCAACAUUUAGUGCCACGUCAUUUGCCACAUGGCAAUGACAUCAUCAAAAUGAUCCAUCAACAUGCCACAUGGUAGAUGGUGUGUCAUUAAUUUGACAGUUGUACCGUUGACUAACGAAAGUUAGUCAACAAUGAGUGGAAGAUGCUUAUUUGAUCCAAAAUUUAAGAGCUUAAUUAAUCGUAAUAAAAAAAUAAGGGUUUAAUUGCCUUUGUCAAUAUAAUUUAAAGGCUUAAUAAAGGCUAUUAAAAAAAGAAUCAAAACCAACAACAUGCAUCAAUCAACAAUAUGGUAAAUCCUGUUCAAGAAGCAAAUCAAAAAAUAGACUAGCAUAGCAAAAAAAAAAUGAAACUAACCUUGCUUAAGAACUAUCAAGAAGCUUGGAAAUUGGAAUGAACCAACGAUAGAGGUGGAUCUGUAAAAGGAAGUGCUGAUGACCUUCGACGAUCGAAGAGGGUGGAUUUGUGAAGGGGGAAGGUGGACGGUUGGAUUAGGGCCAAAGAAGGUGGGCGACAGU